UGUCCAGUGGCACCUUAGAGACCAACUAAGCUUGUUCUGGGUAUAAGCUUUCGUGUGCAUGCACAAAACAAAUGUUAGUUGGUCUCUAAGGUGCCACUGGACA